AUUGAAUUCUGACAACUACAUUACUCUCUAUUAAUUGUUUCAUUUUGUAGCUCAAGAACAUCUCAAGACCUGAUAUUAUCAGAAUUGAAUUACAAGCCAGGCACUCCUGUCUCUCCUGUUGCUCCUAUCACAUUCCUUUAUGAUCCCGUGAAAUCCAAGGUAAUACUGAGGACCAGCUCCCUCACCGAGACAAGGGAUUUCAACAUCAACAAAAUUGCUGAGUUCACAAAGCCAGUUUUUGGUACUGGCUUUGGGGCCUCUAUGAUAGAUAAGCAUAAUAUUCACUACAAAUAGUCUUUACACAAUGGCUCAACACAUAAAGUUGAGGUAUUAGUAUUAUUUCAUUAUGAUUCAAGUAAUGUAAGAAUUCCUAACUUCGUUCCUUGUUGGUUAAAGGAACUAUCAAGAGCUUUAUACUCACUGACUCUCUAAGCAGUAACAAAGGAGGUCAGUUACCAUUCCUGCAGGGAAGGUAACUGAUAUUUCAGAAAAUGAAAAUUUGGCAUCUAACCAGAUUGAUCAGAUAACCAAAAGGCCCGUGUCAAAUAGGAGACAUACAUGAGGUUCCUCCAUGGGAGACAAUUCUCUUUCAAUCAAAUAGGAAUACUAUUGACAAUAAAAUUUUUC